rnacentral:rRNA from 1 species
ACCAGACUCCUACGGGAGGCAGCAGUGGGGGAUAUUGCACAAUGGGGGAAACCCUGAUGCAGCGACGCCGCGUGAGUGAAGAAGUAUUUCGGUAUGUAAAGCUCUAUCAGCAGGGAAGAAAAUGACAGUACCUGACCAAGAAGCCCCGGCUAACUACGUGCCAGCAGCCGCGGUAAUACGUAGGGGGCAAGCGUUAUCCGGAUUUACUGGGUGUAAAGGGAGCGUAGACGGCGGGGCAAGUCUGGAGUGAAAGGCCGGGGCCCAACCCCGGGACCGCUCUGGAAACUGCCCGGCUGGAGUGCGGGAGAGGUAAGCGGAAUUCCUAGUGUAGCGGUGAAAUGCGUAGAUAUUAGGAGGAACACCAGCGGCGAAGGCGGCUUACUGGACCGUGACUGACGUUGAGGCUCGAAGGCGUGGGGAGCAAACAGGAUUAGAUACCCGUGUAG